UUUCCUUAUUGAAAAUAAUCUCUUAGCAGUUUAUCUGGUAUAAAAAGUUUUGCCGGAUAGCAGACAAAAAGUCGGAAAUACAUUACGUUUUAUACCAGAUGAGCAGCUAAAGAAAUAUUUACAUUAUGCCUGGU
rnacentral:precursor_RNA from 10 species